UUUAAUUGAAGAGUUUGAUCAUGGCUCAGAUUGAACGCUGGCGGCAGGCCUAACACAUGCAAGUCGAGCGGCAGCACAGAGGAACUUGUUCCUUGGGUGGCGAGCGGCGGACGGGUGAGUAAUGCCUGGGAAAUUGCCCUGAUGUGGGGGAUAACCAUUGGAAACGAUGGCUAAUACCGCAUGAUGCCCUUGUUUAUAAUGAACAGGGGCCAAAGAGGGGG
rnacentral:rRNA from 1 species